AGAAUUGUCUAUAAGGCAAAAUCUAAUCAUCACCACAAAUAAAAAAUGAAAAUACAAAGAAAAUAAUGUUGGGGCAUUGACAUUACAAAAAGUACCUCACAUAGGUUCUUAUCACAACAAAACAAAGUAGACACCUCCUAAACCGGACAUGCACUGGAAGCCUCGCUAGGGUUCUCCUCCACCUCCGACUUAGAAGUGAUCUCAAUGACCUCAACUGAAUCUUCAAUGCAGAUAAGCUCUACACAGUCGUCAUUGUCUUCCUCCUCCUCCACUUCAUCCGCUCCCCAAUCCAUCAGGGGGUCCGGGGUGAACCCCCUUGGCAUGGCCCCGUCUUUCUCUCUUGGCGUUGAUCCUGAUGAUGAGAAUCAUGUUUGGGGCCAGGUCCUAACAACUUCUGGUACGCCUCGAGCUUCAGCCGGUAUAGAAAGUUCGUCGGUUGUAGGUCUUCUGUCGGGAAAAGUGAAUGAUGCCUCCCGAAGUGCGUAGUAAGGUGAAAGAUGUAGAACUAAGUCAUUGCUUACCCAAUCCAGCUUCUGGUCGCAAGGACCUGUGUAAGUGUGUCAAUUACCCUCAACACUCCAUGUCCCCUCCUGGGACAUAGUGAAGCGAUAACAGAUCAGUGUUGAUGAUUCCAUCUGAACAUGUGUACAAAUACACAAGAAGAAAAGAGAGGGAGUGAAACAUCUACGGAAAACUUGUCAUAGACGUCGUGGAAUUACACAAAAUAAUACACCAAGACAAUACACGAGUACAGAUAUAUCAUAUGAUCAUACAAGCAUAUAAUAACGAUGAAUGAAAUUUAGAACUCGAGAAUUUAGAAUCAAUAUCGAAGAAUAUCUUGUAUGCAAUGCGAUGCAUGAGUCCACCAUCCUUACUCCUUCAUCCUCCCAAUAACUAUUCGGAAAUAACCGAGAGUACAGUUCUCAUAACAAGCCAAUUUGAUCGCACCAGAACAUUUCCUCGCAAUGAUAUAUGAUCGAUCUGUUCCAACGGAACUGUCCGUUUCAGGACGGUGUCAUAUCAAACACUUUCUGGGCAUCCCUCUCAUCGAUCCUGAUUGCAAAGAGGGGUUGUCAGAGAUCAUCUAGUUUGCGCUGUGAGCAUUGUCUGAUCCAACAGAAUACCUCAUCCAUGAAUAUAUGGGACUCGUCUCACCUAGACUCUCCCUCAAGACUUUGCUGACGAAUCACCACCAUCACAGUCCCUCUCAACAUCGCGGGGUUCGUUCGUCUCCCAUAAUUUUCCUCUCUACUGCUCCGUCUUACCAUGGAUAUGCACCCUAACCAAAUUAGAAAAUUAUGUCUUUUAAUCCAUCUUUUCUAGCGAUCUUCCCAUCCUAAGACAUCUCCCAUCGGGAAUGCUUCUAGUGGGUCCCGAUCUUAACAUAUAAACAAAAGGAGAAUAAUUUUGGCACCACUACAAACCAUCGCUAAAUUAUCCUGGACGACUCUCAAGCCAAGCCUCUUAUGGUCAGACGAUCUUGUUGUAUGGGCACAACAUAAUACUUCUUAGCACCACUAUGAACCAUCACUGAAUUAUCCUGGACGACUCCUCUAGCCAAGCCUCUUACGGUCAAACGAUCUUGCUGUGUGGGCAUAAUAUCACACCCUUGGGCCUCACCUUUAACAAAGUAAUUCCUUAAAUUUAUUACUUUCAAGAAUUUCAUAUAGUUAUUUACCUUUACAACUUCUUGAUAGAAAACAUGCCAUUAGGCUCUCGUAUAUAUGAGAGUUAUCGUUCAGACGACUUAAAAAGAAGUCAUAUCUGUAUGGAGCCCUCUCGCUCAAGCGAGGGCACAUCCAUUUUUUAGGCAUUGGUGUCUAUUUUGACUAGAGAUAAUAUUUCAAAGCCAACAGCGAAAUCAGAAUUCGAUUCCUAGUUAUAGACCUCAAAAACUGGGCGAAAAAACGACAAAACGACCCGAAAUCGUCUCGGAAACUUUUAUUCUCCAAAAAUCUUGAAAAAAUAGGGAAGCAAGAAAAUCAUAAUACAAGACUAAAACUCAACUAAGGUUUAGCCUAAAAAAUUACUGAUUAAUAUCUAUAAUUAAUCCAUUAAUACUAAUUAGUUAAUUAAAAGUGCUCUGAAAAACACGGUGUUACACUUCACACUGACAACCUUGAUCGAAUGUAUAGGAUAGGUGGAAGGUGAUGACACAGAAUGACCAAUCCUGAAAAACCACUCUUUCAUCUAAGGAUGCCUAACUACCUAACCGAAAAUUUAGGUGGGCGGGGAACUGCGAGGUGGGUAGUAUAUCUGGUGCGGAAGCCUCCUAAAGAGCAACGGAGGUGUGCGGAGGUAGGCUCAAGCUAAGAUUCUCCUCGUGAGCGUAAUGGUAUAAGUCUGCCUGAUUGUGAGACCGACUGGUCGAACAGAGACGAAAGUUGACCAUAGAGAUCUGGGAGUCUCAUGUGGAAUGGCUCUCGCUCAACGGAUCAAAGGAUCACCGGGGAUAACAGGCUGAUGACUCCCAAGAGCUCUUAUCGAUGGAGUCGUUUGGCAUCUAUCUCGAUGUCGACUCAUCACAUCUUGGAUUUGAAGAAGGUCCCAAGGGUUCGAUUGUUCAACGAUUCAAGUGGUACGUGAGUUGAGUUUAGAACAUCGUGAGACAGUUUGAUUCCUAUCUACCGUUGGUGUUAAAGGGAGAACUGCGAGGAGCCAACCCUAGUACGAGAGGAAUGGGUUGGGCCAACCUAUGGUGUACCAGUUUUUAUGCCAAUAGCAGCACCGGGCUGCUAAGUUGGUAUGGAAGAGCUGCAGCGCCGCGAGAAAUCCUUCUCUAUACAAGUUCUCGGAUGAGGUUUUUGAACAAAACUUCGAUAGGCGAGAGGUGUAAGCACCGCGAGGUGUGAAGCAAUCUCGUACUAAAAAAUUUUCACUUU
rfam:Lupinus angustifolius cultivar Tanjil contig_47588, whole genome shotgun sequence.